AUAGAUAUAAACGAUAAAAACCAUGGUUAAUAGUAAAAAGGGGCAAAUUGGUAAUUUAGUCAUGAAUGACUAAGAUUUAAUGAGUUUUCGUUAAGGUUACCUUAUAGUGUAACUAAUAAAAGAAAUAGCGGGGUAAAAUCCGAAAUGGGUCGUAUGCGUGAAUUUGAAAUUAAAAUAUCAAGUUUUGUAAACAUCAAUAUUUGGUCAGGCAGACCACACGGGCCAGAUGGUAGUAAUAAUACCAUUUGACAAAUUCGACUAAUGUUUGGUUGGCAAGUCACUUGUUCAUAGGAACGAAUAGCAAUUUGGAUAAUUGCAUCGCCAUAAAGUUUCGGCUAAUAAAGCGAGGUAUAAAAACGGGUCUAUGCGUUGACUCGAGCCAGGUGGCGUGGACUUAGCAUCAUUACGAAGAAAAGAAGGUUUGAAGAUCGAGUCACGAGCGAGGGUUGUACGGGAAGGAUCAGUCACAUAAUUUGA